rnacentral:lncRNA from 10 species
AUCUCCGCGCACAGUGGUGGCCACCGCGACUGGUGCUGAAGUGUCGGCGUGUGCCGGGCGCUCCGCUGGGACCCGGGUUGCUCGCCCUGAGUCUCAGCUUUCUCAUCUGUACGGUUGGGACAAGUACAGUAACCCUCGCCCGUCAAGACGGGCCAGGGCUGUGGCGAGGGUCCACGCCUUAGAGCAGGCACCUAUCUUGUGCAGGGCCCUGAGAUGGGGUCUGACUCAGUUCCUGCGGGGAACUUCACCAGUGACCCAGUCAGUGCCCUUCAGUUAAAGACCACCAGGAGCACACUUAUAUCAUGGAAAUCAGGACAGUGGCAGUUCGGAUUGUGGCAAUCAAAGGGGUGGAAAGUGAAUUCUAUCUUGCAAUGAACGAGGAAGGAAAACUCUAUGCAAAGGUAUUGAUAAUUGAUAGCUUAGGCUUAAUUUUUAAAACUCAUUUUUGUUGAAAUAUCUCACCAUUCUGAAAAGUAAACAUGGACUUAAUCUAUCUCCAACUGUAUAAUUUAAUGAUUUUAUUAAAACACUUUAUACUCAAAUGUUAAGAAAAAAUGUUUUCUGUGUGACUUUGGACAAAUGGCUUGUUCUUUGGAUUCUGGUUUCUUCAUCUGUAAAAUGAGUUGAAUUAGCUGACCUCUAAGGAGCCUUCCAGCUCUAACAUUCCAUGUGCAUUUUAGAUAUUUAAAAUCCAAAAUUUCCAUUUGCCAGUAUUAAAGCUCUUUUUGCUAAAGUUCACCCAAUUUGCACAUUGCUGACAUGAAAAUUCUUGGGAAAAAAUCUUGAAAUGUUUAGUUCAUUCAUCAACAUCAAUCUCACAAUCAUGGGCUUUGAACUGUAAUUAUUCACAUUGUUCCCACUUCACUACAAUGCAAAAUAUGUAACAGUUCAUCCCACUGUAAUAAAAUAUAAUUGGCUUUCCUUUGUAUUCCCACAGCUCAGCAUAAUGCCUGGAACAGGCUAAUUAUAUAAUGAUACAGGUUUAAUUGAAUGAACAAAUGGUUGCAUGGAUGAACAAACAAAUUAACCUUUUAUCUUCCAUUACCACUGAAGACAGUGUACAAGUAAAUAAAGAAAAGUUGUGAAACAAGUCUCUCACCUGAGGGAGGCAGAGGUUCUGCUAAUUCUACCAAAUUUCCAGUGGUUAAAGAAUGAGUGAUGUGGGAAGAGUAAUUUGAGGCCUGUUACUUAGGGGGAAAUAGGUCCUAAUUUUAAAGAAUAGUUGACAUGAACUUCCAAAAAGCUACACAUAUUUCACACUAGCUGUGCAUUAUGUGGUGUCUUUAUUUCAAAUUUAAGAUACCUUUUUAUGCAAAUAUACUACAUAAGUCUAGCUAAUAAACCACAUUAGGCCUGCUCAAUCUGAGGGUUAAAAAAAGUUGUGUAUGUUUCAAUUCUACCAAAUAUUGCUGCUUACUCUUCGUUUAAUUGAGCCUCUCUAAAAAUCAUUUGGAUAAUGUUUGUGUGUUUGUUUGUUUGUUUGAACAGAAAGAAUGCAAUGAAGAUUGUAACUUCAAAGAACUAAUUCUGGAAAACCAUUACAACACAUAUGCAGCAGCUAAAUGGACACACAAUGGAGGGGAAAUGUUUGUUGCCUUAAAUCAAAAGGGGAUUCCUGUAAGAGGAAAAAAAACGAAGAAAGAACAAAAAACAGCCCACUUUCUUCCUAUGGCAAUAACUUAAUUGCAUAUGGUAUAUAAAGAACCAGUUCCAGUAGGGAGAUUUCUUUAAGUGGACUGUUUUCUUUCUUCUCAAAAUUUUCUUUCCUUUUAUUUUUUAGUAAUCAAGAAAGGCUGGAAAACUACUG